AGCAGCCGCGGUAAUUCCAGCUCCAAUAGCGUAUAUUAAAGUUGUUGCAGUUAAAAAGCUCGUAGUUGAAUUUCGGGACCAUCAUGUCGGUCGUGCCUCGGUACGUACUGGUAUUGUUGGUUUCUCCCUUCUGACGAACCAUGAUGUCAUUUAUUUGGUGUUGUGGGGAAUCAGGACUGUUACUUUGAAAAAAUUAGAGUGUUUAAAGCAGGCUCACGCUUGAAUACAUUAGCAUGGAAUAAUGAAAUAGGACGUUUGAUUCUAUUUUGUUGGUUUCUAGGAUCGACGUAAUGAUUAAUAGGGAUAGUUGGGGGCAUUAGUAUUCAAUUGUCAGAGGUGAAAUUCUUGGAUUUAUUGAAGACUAACUACUGCGAAAGCAUUUGCCAAGGAUGUUUUCAUUAAUCAAGAACGAAAGUUAGGGGAUCGAAGACGAUCAGAUACCGUCGUAGUCUUAACCAUAAACUAUGCCGACUAGGGAUCGGAUGAUGUUAAUUUUUUAAUGACUCAUUCGGCGCCUUACG
rnacentral:rRNA from 1 species